CGGAGGUUUCCCAGCCACGCGGUUUCUGAAGCCUCCCAGCUCAAGGUCCUUUUGGCAUUCAGAGCUAUGCAGGGCUUUGUAAAUAAACCUUUGCUUGAAGCUGGAAACAAAGCCGGUGCCCAAGGACUGGAGAAUGGCUGAACAAACUGUGGGCGACGAAUGUAAGGGGAUAUUAUUGGGAUGGAAGAAGCAACAAAAAAGGGAAGUGCAGAGAAACAUGGGAAAGCAUGUGUGAAUUGGUGCCGAGUAAACUGCAGAACAAAGUAGCCGGUCAGGGAUGUGACCGGGUCACCAAAAGGCGGCUGCCUCCCAGGCUUGACUCUGAUUAAUCUUGUAAUGGGAGUUCCCCAAACAACCUUACUGGAAGAGUCUUCAAAGUCAAGAUGACUAUCAGUGGCCCAGGAUGCAAUAGAUGACCUUGGCAUCUUCCAUGUCUAACCAGGCUCUAAGCACUGCACAGUACCUGUUUGGAACAUGGCCGUUGGAACAAAUUGUUCUCAUCGGAUCAUUCAACGGGGAAAGUCUUCACAUGCUUGGGGGUAGACAACUCUACAGAUCUGAGGCCAGUUGGUUACCCUCUACCUGGUUUAGCCCGUCUGCUGAGAAGGUUUUACCAAGGUGUGUCUCCUGGGCAUGCUACAGCUUCUUGGAGCCACAGAUGAGGCAACUGAGGCGUGGAGAGGCAGAGAGACUGCCCAAGGUCAUAGAGGCAGGAAAUUUGAACCUAAUGUGGAUCCUCCAACCUCAGAGCCAGUGCUCUGUUUUACCUCAUUGUCUAUAUAACCUUCUGUCUCUGUUCCCCAUGCCUGGAAAGCUCUCCCUCCUCAUCUCCACCUCCUGACUUCCCUUGGCUUCCUUCAAGUUCCAAUUAAAAUCCCAGCUUCUGUAAGACCCCUUCCCAAUCCUCCUUAAUAUUAUCACCUUCCUUCUGAUGAUGAUCUCCAAUUUAUCCUGUCUGUAUUUUGCCUGUACAGUUGUUUCAUAUUGCCUCUCCCAUUAGAUGGUGAGCUCCUUGAGGGCAGAACUGCUGUGUUGUUUUGUUUCUGCCUUUCCAUGCUUUCUCAGGCUUAGCCCAGAACUUAAUAAAUGCUUGUUGAUUCAACUUUUCCCUAUCUUUUUUUCUUCUGGUGAGAGGGCUCACCCACCAACCCAGAAGAUAUCAGUGGUUAUCCGUGACACACCUCAAAUCCUGAGAGCAGAGUUUUUGCUUACCUUUGCUUUUCUUUUUCCCUUUUCUAAGGAAAUCAAUCAAUAAACAUUAAAGU